GUGCUCCUCUGCCUUAAUUGUUUGGAAGCAGUCAGUCCCUAGAAGCAACGUGAAGUGAUUCACUUCAGAGAUGCAGUCCAGCUGGGGUCUGACAGACUAAAAGAAUGUGGCAACCCUUUUUGUCCUGAGCAGAAGUGCCAUGGGGGUCUGGGAAAAACAUCCGUUCUUUACAGUUGGUGUGAACACCCUAACAAUCAAUCCAGAAGGAACCUGUCCACGUGAGAAGGAGGAGGCCCUGGCUGACGGAGUUCCUUUAAGAUCAGUCCAUGUGCUGACUCAGGGAAAUGUGGGCAACACACUGAAAACAUUUGCAGGCCUGGAAAAGAACUGGUUUAAUAAUUCAAGAUGCUUUUAAGUUACACAAAAUGGAUAAAAACAAAUAAAACUCCA